CGAACGAUGAAGCCCUUCGGGGUGGAUUAGUGGCGAACGGGUGAGUAACACGUGGGCAAUCUGCCCUUCACUCUGGGACAAGCCCUGGAAACGGGGUCUAAUACCGGAUAACACUUCCGUCCUCCUGGACGGUGGUUAAAAGCUCCGGCGGUGAAGGAUGAGCCCGCGGCCUAUCAGCUUGUUGGUGAGGUAAUGGCUCACCAAGGCGACGACGGGUAGCCGGCCUGAGAGGGCGACCGGCCACACUGGGACUGAGACACGGCCCAGACUCCUACGGGAGGCAGCAGUGGGGAAUAUUGCACAAUGGGCGAAAGCCUGAUGCAGCGACGCCGCGUGAGGGAUGACGGCCUUCGGGUUGUAAACCUCUUUCAGCAGGGAAGAAGCGAAAGUGACGGUACCUGCAGAAGAAGCGCCGGCUAACUACGUGCCAGCAGCCGCGGUAAUACGUAGGGCGCAAGCGUUGUCCGGAAUUAUUGGGCGUAAAGAGCUCGUAGGCGGCUUGUCACGUCGGUUGUGAAAGCCCGGGGCUUAACCCCGGGUCUGCAGUCGAUACGGGCAGGCUAGAGUGUGGUAGGGGAGAUCGGAAUUCCUGGUGUAGCGGUGAAAUGCGCAGAUAUCAGGAGGAACACCGGUGGCGAAGGCGGAUCUCUGGGCCAUUACUGACGCUGAGGAGCGAAAGCGUGGGGAGCGAACAGGAUUAGAUACCCUGGUAGUCCACGCCGUAAACGGUGGGAACUAGGUGUUGGCGACAUUCCACGUCGUCGGUGCCGCAGCUAACGCAUUAAGUUCCCCGCCUGGGGAGUACGGCCGCAAGGCUAAAACUCAAAGGAAUUGA
rnacentral:rRNA from 1 species